GUCACUGGUUAAAGUCAGAAAUCCCCCCAUAGUUCCUCCACCUUCUUUCCCACAACACCGAUCGAACAGCCCAUUUCAAGUGGACCCUCGGUGUCCAGCCGAUUAAGAUAGGAGACACCAAGUUCGUCCUUCUCCGAAUCUUCCGUAGAAUUGAUCUGGGGCAAUGAUCCUGGUAGAAACUCAACUGCGAAGAAGUAUACGGAUCCACCACGACUACAAUCGUCGGCUUCGCUUUUUCCUCGGUCCGGCUAGGAGUCGCCUAGCCUUGUCUGCAGGAGAGUAACCAAAUCAGCCCUAAUGUGCUCGAAGUGAGGUAUAUUUUCAUUUUCAGCGUCAAUAACGAAUAGAGACGGUUGGAAAACAAGAUCGGAGCGAGCAAUUUCGACACGGGUUUCCUGACCGUUCGAAGGGUGAUGUUGGAAGAAAGCUCGAAUCUCGUCCGCUGCGGGUCCCAAACGUCUCAGCACGUCAGAAUGAAACAAGAUCUGCAGAAAGAAAGUGGCAUCCGCCACAAUGGGAUAGCACUAUGGCCGGGCCCACAGCGGGCGUGGCCACCAAACCCGCCACCUAUAUCCGUACACUGCGACC
rnacentral:sRNA from 1 species